GAGUUUGAUCCUGGCUCAGAUUGAACGCUGGCGGCAUGCCUUACACAUGCAAGUCGAACGGCAGCAUGAUCUAGCUUGCUAGAUUGAUGGCGAGUGGCGAACGGGUGAGUAAUACAUCGGAACGUGCCCUGUAGUGGGGGAUAACUAGUCGAAAGAUUAGCUAAUACCGCAUACGACCUGAGGGUGAAAGUGGGGGACCGCAAGGCCUCAUGCUAUAGGAGCGGCCGAUGUCUGAUUAGCUAGUUGGUGGGGUAAAGGCCCACCAAGGCGACGAUCAGUAGCUGGUCUGAGAGGACGAACAGCCACACUGGGACUGAGACACGGCCCAGACUCCUACGGGAGGCAGCAGUGGGGAAUUUUGGACAAUGGGCGAAAGCCUGAUCCAGCAAUGCCGCGUGUGUGAAGAAGGCC
rnacentral:rRNA from 1 species